UACGAAGGGGGCUAGCGUUGCUCGGAAUCACUGGGCGUAAAGCGCACGUAGGGUCAUUUAGUCAGGGGUGAAAUCCUGGAGCUCAACUCCAGAACUGCCUUUGAUACUGAUGAUCUUGGAGUCCGGGAGAGGUGGGUGGAACUGCGAGUGUAGAGGUGAAAUUCGUAGAUAUUCGCAAGAACACCAGUGGCGAAGGCGGCUCACUGGCCCGGUACUGACACUGAGGUGCGAAAGCGUGGGGAGCAAACAGG
rnacentral:rRNA from 1 species